CGGACGGGUGAGUAACGCGUGGGAACGUGCCCUUUGCUACGGAAUAGUCCCGGGAAACUGGGUUUAAUACCGUAUGUGCCCUUCGGGGGAAAGAUUUAUCGGCAAAGGAUCGGCCCGCGUUGGAUUAGGUAGUUGGUGGGGUAAUGGCCUACCAAGCCGACGAUCCAUAGCUGGUUUGAGAGGAUGAUCAGCCACACUGGGACUGAGACACGGCCCAGACUCCUACGGGAGGCAGCAGUGGGGAAUCUUAGACAAUGGGGGCAACCCUGAUCUAGCCAUGCCGCGUGAGUGAUGAAGGCCUUAGGGUUGUAAAGCUCUUUCAGCUGGGAAGAUAAUGACGGUACCAGCAGAAGAAGCCCCGGCUAACUCCGUGCCAGCAGCCGCGGUAAUACGGAGGGGGCUAGCGUUGUUCGGAAUUACUGGGCGUAAAGCGCACGUAGGCGGACUGGAAAGUUGGGGGUGAAAUCCCGGGGCUCAACCUCGGAACUGCCUUCAAAACUAUCAGUCUGGAGUUCGAGAGAGGUGAGUGGAAUACCGAGUGUAGAGGUGAAAUUCGUAGAUAUUCGGUGGAACACCAGUGGCGAAGGCGGCUCACUGGCU
rnacentral:rRNA from 1 species